UACGUAGGGUGCAAGCGUUAAUCGGGAUUACUGGGCGUAAAGCGUGCGCAGGCGGUGAUGUAAGACAGUUGUGAAAUCCCCGGGCUCAACCUGGGAACUGCAUCUGUGACUGCAUCGCUGGAGUGCGGCAGAGGGGGAUGGAAUUCCGCGUGUAGCAGUGAAAUGCGUAGAUAUGCGGAGGAACACCGAUGGCGAAGGCAAUCCCCUGGGCCUGUACUGAUGCUCAUGCACGAAAGCGUGGGGAGCAAACAGG
rnacentral:rRNA from 1 species